AACGAACGCUGGCGGCAUGCCUAACACAUGCAAGUCGAACGAGACCUUCGGGACUACUUGCGCUCGGGGGCGUAACGCGUGGGAACCUGCCCUUACGCUCGGAAUAACUCCCCGAAAGGGGUGCUAAUACCGCAUAAAGUACUCCUACCAAAGAUUGAUCGCCUAUGGCUGGGCCUGCCUUGGAUUAGAUAGUGGGCACAGUAAAUGCCUUACAAGGCGAAGAUGCAUAGCUGGUUUGAGAGGACGAUCAGCCACACUGGGACUGAGACACGGCCCAGACUCCUACGGAUGGGCGAAGGGGGGAAUAUUGGACGACGCGCGAGAGACUGAGCCAGCCGUGCCGCGUGACUGAUGAAGCCCGGAGGAAUGUAAAGCUCGUUUAGACGGGAUGAUAAUGACGGUACCGGGAGAAUAAGCUACGGCUAACUCCGUG
rnacentral:rRNA from 1 species